GGGCGCGUAGCUCAGUGGGAGAGCACCGUGUUGACAUCGCGGGGGUCGCAAGUUCAAUCCUUGCCGCGCCCACCA
rnacentral:tRNA from 1 species